GCCCACUCAACCCCGUUGGGCGUUCGAUCCCCUGGAUCGGACAGGAAGCCGGUGCGAAUCCGGCGCGGGACCGCCGCUGUAAGCGAGGAGGUCCCGGACACUAUGCCACUGCCGACAUCACGUCGGUGGGAAGGCGUCCGGGACCGUCUGACUCGCAAGCCAGAAUACGGCCCGACGGGACUGCCAUGC
rnacentral:ncRNA from 2 species